rnacentral:rRNA from 1 species
GAUGAACGCUGGCGGCGUGCCUAAUACAUGCAAGUCGAGCGAACGGACGAGAAGCUUGCUUCUCUGAUGUUAGCGGCGGACGGGUGAGUAACACGUGGAUAACCAACCUAUAAGACGGGGAUAACUUCGGGAAACCGGAGCUAUUACCGGAUAAUUUUUUGAACCGCAUGGUCCAAAAGUAAAAGACGGCCUUGCGGUCACUAAUAAUUGGACCCGCGUUGCAUUAGCUAGUUGGUAAGGUAACGGCUUACCAAGGCAACGAUGCAUAGCCGACCUGAGAGGGUGAUCGGCCACACUGGAACUGAGACACGGUCCAGACUCCUACGGGAGGCAGCAGUAGGGAAUCUUCCGCAAUGGGCGAAAGCCUGACGGAGCAACGCCGCGUGAGUGAUGAAGGUCUUCGGAUCGUAAAACUCUGUUAUUAGGGAAGAACAUAUGUGUAAGUAACUGUGCACAUCUUGACGGUACCUAAUCAGAAAGCCACGGCUAACUACGUG